rnacentral:rRNA from 1 species
AUGGCCUCCGUCGACGCCGCGGGUGACCCCCUCCGCUCCUUCGCCUCUGCGACGUCCCUCCUUUUCCGGACCCUUGGCCCUGCCGCGGCCUCCGCAUCCCCCUCCAGGGCCCCUGGGGCGCUGCUCGGCGGAUCCCUGAAACGCUCCAAGGAGCUGAUGGAGCAGGCCAGCCUGGUCUUGAAGGAGCGGGGGGACAUCCAGAAGCUCUAUCAGGAGGAUCGAGUGGAUGGCAAGAACAACCAGCAGGGUAGAAGGCCUGGGCUGGACCGCAAGCGGGCUCAGUUCUCUCUCAAGCCCACCCAAAGCAACCCAGUGAAUGUUGAUUUCUCCCAGGCGCUUAGCAUUGACGAUCCAGAGGAGUACUUCUUAACCUUGGAGCGGCUCGAAAAGGCUGACAGGGAGAUAAAAAAGUUAAGAGGUGAGGUUCCAACCAAAACAGCAAAUUAUGAUCGGCCUAUCGAACCACCCAAGAAGCGGCCUGGAAUGUCGAGGAGAAAAUCGGUCUAUUCUUACAAUUUUAGUGUGGGCAUGGAUACCUCAGAUGGUACUGAAGCACCCGAUUCCCAGAUGGGAACUUUACCAGAAUCUCAGUCCACUCAAGACGACAUGCCUCCUUCAGUUCCUGAAAGAACCAAGCCACCGGUCCCUUCAAGUUCUAGCCAAUGUGAUAUACAAGAUGUCUCAACGAGAGAAGAUUCCUUUGCUAAGAAGGAUAAAGGCGCCACUCUGGAUUCCCUAAUGUCAGCAUUCAAAAAUUUGGAUGCAUCUAAAGAGGAAAGCCUGUUGCGAGAGAAGUUACAGAUCAAAGAAAUAAACAUAGGGGAAGCUUGUAUCCCUGACCUAUUCAAUGUUCCUGGUGAUAGGCCUGUAAGAAGAACUAAGCAGAAGUAUCUGACGAGUGAUCGUACUCCAGAAAGACCUGUAUCAGGGAGCCACCAUGCUCCAAUUUCGAAAUGGGAUAAACACAUACUUGGUCGAGACAUUCUGAACGAUAAAGCAGAUCUUUCAGAAGACGAUGAAUCUGAUAAUUCUCCAGAAACUGUUGUGGAUAAACAAUCGCAGGUGCACAGUUCUUACAAUGAUGUUGUUUUGACGAACGGUGAGGCCUCUACUGCAAGGGAGACCCCAACUUCAAUCAUAAAAUUUCCAGACCAUGUUCUUGAACCAGUAAGUUCUCCACUUGGUGCGUGCAUAGAUAGUGACGUUGCCAAAGAAAAGGAUGCAUCUAGCGGGCAAAAUGUUUCAUUAGAGGAAGAGCACAUGCCAGUGAAUCACCCAUUUACCGAGAGGCCAAAUAAUGAACCAGAAACUUCUUCUCAUCAUUUGGAAGGUGAAACAACAAAAGUGCUGGGUAGUGCACCAGGUAGGAAUGCGUCAGUGUUGCAUGGUGAAGAUGACAAUAUCGGAUAUCAGGGAGUGCUUGGAGGGGACAUGCUUGUGCAAGAUGAACCAAUCCAUCCACCGGAAAUACCUCCAGAUGCGCAUAAUCAGUCUCAUAUUCAGGAUGAAGAUGUUGAGAAACAGGCAGUUGAUAUAAGCCAUGAACUCCCUCUGAGCAAAGGUGGUAAGCAAAAUGCAGUCCAAAAAAGAAAAAACAAGAAGCAGUCAGCAAAGAGAGGAAAAAGAGUUUCAGAUAAGCCAAUCCAUACAUCAGAAAUACCUCCAGAAGAUAUUGUCCCACAGAAUAACUCUCAUGUUCAUGAAGGAAACUUCGAGAAACCUGCAGUUGGUACAAGCAAUGAACUCUCCCCAAGCAAAGAUAGUAAGCAAAAGCGAGUUCAAAAUGAGGAGUCUAAGAAGCAGCCAUUGAAGAGAAUGAAAAGAGGGGCAGAAGAGGCAAGCAAUCCAUUGGGAAUACCCCCGGAAAAUUGUGAUACAGAGACUCAACCUAGUAUGCAAGAUACAAAUAUCGAGCAGCAGACGGUUGAUACAAGGGUUUCACGGUCCCCAAACAAAGGUAAAUUGCAAAAGGAAGGUCAAAGGAGAAAGAAGAGGCAAGAAGUGAAUAGAAGGAAAAGCCUGACAGCAUUUGGUCUUGCGUGGCAAUCUGGCGUGAGACGCAGCACAAGAAUACGGUCCAGGCCAUUGCAGGAUUGGCUUGGCGAAAGGCUCCUAUAUGGGCGUAUACAUGACACAAUGGCCACAGUCAUCGGCGUGAAAUCAUAUUCUCCCAGUCAAGAUGGCAAGGUUGAAUUGAGAGUGAAAUCCUUCGUGCCAGAACAGUACUCAGAUAUGGUAGCUCAAGCUGCAAAGUAUUGA